UGGGGAAUAUUGGACAAUGGGCGCAAGCCUGAUCCAGCCAUGCCGCGUGAGUGAUGAAGGCCUUAGGGUUGUAAAGCUCUUUCACCGGUGAAGAUAAUGACGGUAACCGGAGAAGAAGCCCCGGCUAACUUCGUGCCAGCAGCCGCGGUAAUACGAAGGGGGCUAGCGUUGUUCGGAAUUACUGGGCGUAAAGCGCACGUAGGCGGAUCGUUAAGUUAGGGGUGAAAUCCCGGGGCUCAACCCCGGAACUGCCUCUAAUACUGGCGAUCUAGAGUAUGGAAGAGGUGAGUGGAAUUCCGAGUGUAGAGGUGAAAUUCGUAGAUAUUCGGAGGAACACCAGUGGCGAAGGCGGCUCACUGGUCCAUUACUGACGCUGAGGUGCGAAAGCGUGGGGAGCGAAACAGGAUUAGAUACCCUGGUAGUCCACGCCGUAAACGAUGAAUGUUAGCCGUCGGCAAGUUUACUGUCGGUGGCGCAGCUAACGCAUUAAACAUUCCGCCUGGGGAGUACGGUCG
rnacentral:rRNA from 1 species